rnacentral:piRNA from 1 species
GCUGUGUGAGUGAAGGUGACAGCUCAUCCC